rnacentral:rRNA from 1 species
AACGAACGCUGGCGGCAUGCCUAACACAUGCAAGUCGAACGAUCCCUUCGGGGUUAGUGGCGCAGGGGUUCGUAACGCGUGGGAACCUGCCCUUAGGUUCGGAAUAACUCAGAGAAAUUUGAGCUAAUACCGGAUAAUGUCUUCGGACCAACGAUUGAUCGCCUUUGGGUGGGCCCCAGAUGUAUUGCAUAGGUGGUGGGGUAAAGGCCUACCAAGGCGUCGUCACAUAGCUGGUUUGAGAGGAGGAUCCGCCACACUGGGGGGGAGAAACGGCCCAGAAUCUUGCGCGAGGGAGAAGUGGGGAAUAUUGCAAAAUGGGCGGAGGGAUGAUCCCGCAAUGCCGGGUGAGUGAUGAAGGCCUUAGGGAAGUAAAGCUCGUUUAUCCGGGAUGAUAAUGACAGUACCGGGAGAAUAAGCCCCGGCUAACUCCGUG